GAUCGCUGAAAAAAGAUCGAGGAUCCGAUAUUGGGACCGGCCGUUAGUGGGAUCUCUCGUCUGCUCGCCCGAUUGGGGGUCG